GAUGAACGCUGGCGGCGUGCCUAAUACAUGCAAGUCGAGCGAACAGACGAGGAGCUUGCUCCUCUGACGUUAGCGGCGGACGGGUGAGUAACACGUGGAUAACCUACCUAUAAGACUGGGAUAACUUCGGGAAACCGGAGCUAAUACCGGAUAAUAUAUUGAACCGCAUGGUUCAAUAGUGAAAGACGGUUUUGCUGUCACUUAUAGAUGGAUCCGCGCCGCAUUAGCUAGUUGGUAAGGUAACGGCUUACCAAGGCAACGAUGCGUAGCCGACCUGAGAGGGUGAUCGGCCACACUGGAACUGAGACACGGUCCAGACUCCUACGGGAGGCAGCAGUAGGGAAUCUUGCGUAAUGGGCGAAAGCCUGACGGAGCAACGACGCGUGAGUGAUGAAGGUCUUCGGAUCGUAAAACUCUGUUAUUAGGGAAGAACAAAUGUGUAAGUAACUAUGCACGUCUUGACGGUACCUAAUCAGAAAGCCACGGCUAACUACGUG
rnacentral:rRNA from 1 species